AGGUGGCCUCCAGCCUCUCCAAGAGACAGCUGCUUAAGGAUAACAAAUAGAAGAUGGACUUCUGCAUACCAGCAAGUGGGCCCUUACAAGAUACCAAAUCUGCCAACAUCUUGAUCUUGGACUUCCCAGCCUCCAGAACUAAUUACCCGAAGCCCAAAGGGAGCUCCAUAUUUGGUAGGAUAUAUGCCCCUCCCUUGGCAGCCCACAGCCAAUGCCUGACUGACAUGUGGAAGCCACGCCCCCUUGGCACCAG